rnacentral:rRNA from 1 species
AUGCAGGCGACUAUGAGGUGGCGGGGCAGUCGACGGGCCCUGGGCAUGCCGGCGCACGCGUUCUCGUCGACCAAUGGGCUAUUCUCCGGGACGCAUUGGGGGUGCUCAGCGGCUUCGUGUUGCGCGCGUCGCUGGACGCAGCCGUCGAUUAGGGAUCGCUGGCGGGUGCACGAGAUGGACGACCUGCUCAGGUUUGGCUACUCGAUGGAGAAUGACAACCAGGCGCGGAUCCGCCUGACUAUCAUGUCACGGGAGUUGACGAAAGACGACGUCGUCACGGUAUCCAGAGCCUGUACGAGAGCAACUCAAACUUCAAGGGCGUCACGCCGCCGGCGACGAGCUGCAGGGAAAUCCACAGCGGUCUGCGAGCAUGCACUUCGCGCGGUGGAGCGGCUUGGCUGGCGUAGCGCGCACAAGCGUUUGUGUGGGUAG